UCCUCCACUCUAAAACAUAAUAUAUCUGCAAUAUGAGGAAUAGCAUUAAAAUUUCAACUUUGAGAUAUAAAAAAAAUUAUUUUUCACACCAUAUGUUUCCCUUCUAUUAAAAUCACAACUCUUCAUGCAAAAUCCCUCUCCUAUAACAAACAGAAGCUGCAUCUUCAGGAAAUGGUAGCCCAUACAGCCACAGUUGCAAUUCCAUGACCCAAAACCCACAGAGUUUAGGCUUCUCCA
rnacentral:lncRNA from 1 species